UACGUAGGGUGCAAGCGUUAAUCGGAAUUACUGGGCGUAAAGCGUGCGCAGGCGGUCUUGUAAGACAGAGGUGAAAUCCCCGGGCUCAACCUGGGAACUGCCUUUGUGACUGCAAGGCUGGAGUGCGGCAGAGGGGGAUGGAAUUCCGCGUGUAGCAGUGAAAUGCGUAGAUAUGCGGAGGAACACCGAUGGCGAAGGCAAUCCCCUGGGCCUGCACUGACGCUCAUGCACGAAAGCGUGGGGAGCAAACAGG
rnacentral:rRNA from 2 species